rnacentral:lncRNA from 1 species
UUUGGGAGUGUUAAAUGAUUCACGGAGAUUAGCUUUUACCAAAGUGGGUUUUAAAAACAGACAGUGUUUGCAGAGAGCUCUGUGCGCAGUGAGCAUCUUAAGAUGCCUAAGAACACACAUGCACAUAGGGCCAGGGGACAUCAGAAGUAAACACAUAUUGGGCUUGGUGGCAUGUCUGCAAUCCCAGCAUUCAGGAGGCAGAGGCCAGAAGAUCAUGAUUAUGGGGUCAACCUGGGCUACAUAGAAAAAUUUCUAUCUAGAAAACAAAUAAACACACACACACACACACACACACACACACAGGCAUGCACACGCACGCACAAUGUGUCACUUAAAAAGGUUUUCUUAACUUUGCAGACAUUGCAGGGGCCCAACCAGCAAACACCAGUCCUUGUGAAGACGCAUCUAGACACCACAAACACAUCCUGCCCUGAAGCUGCUCUCCGGGAGUGCCCUGAGUUGGCACCGUUCCAGACCAGAUCUGCUCCCAGAAACUGGCUGCUGAUUCUGAAACCAGGGAGAGAAGGAGGCUAAAUUGGAGGAGAAAAGGAGAGUGGACAUGCAGUCAGGGGUCCCAGUCUCUUACAUCACUGUCAAAACGUGCUGUUAGGAACUUUCCCAGUUUCACCCAGGGACAAUGUAC